UAUAAGCACUUUAUACUGUGAAACUGCGAAUGGCUCAUUAAAUCAGUUAUCGUUUAUUUGAUAGUACCUUACUACAUGGAUACCUGUGGUAAUUCUAGAGCUAAUACAUGCUGAAAACCCCAACUUCGGAAGGGGUGUAUUUAUUAGAUAAAAAACCAAUGCCCUCCGGGGCUCCUUGGUGAAUCAUAAUAACUUAACGAAUCGCAUGGCCUUGCGCCGGCGAUGGUUCAUUCAAAUUUCUGCCCUAUCAACUUUCGAUGGUAGGAUAGUGGCCUACCAUGGUGGCAACGGGUAACGGGGAAUUAGGGUUCGAUUCCGGAGAGGGAGCCUGAGAAACGGCUACCACAUCCAAGGAAGGCAGCAGGCGCGCAAAUUACCCAAUCCCGACACGGGGAGGUAGUGACAAUAAAUACUGAUACGGGGCUCUUUUGGGUCUCGUAAUUGGAAUGAGUACAAUCUAAAUCCCUUAACGAGGAACAAUUGGAGGGCAAGUCUGGGCCACA
rnacentral:rRNA from 1 species